rnacentral:siRNA from 1 species
GUACGUGUGCUAGUAGUGUACA